GCUUUGCUGCUGCUCAGUCAGUAACAUUGUGCUAGCAACACAAAGGUCAUGGGUUCAAACCCUAGGGAAAGCA
rnacentral:tRNA from 1 species